rnacentral:rRNA from 1 species
GUAGGUGGCAAGCGUUGUCCGGAAUUAUUGGGCGUAAAGCGCGCGCAGGCGGUUCUUUAAGUCUGAUGUGAAAGCCCACGGGCUCAACCGUGGAGGGUCAUUGGAAACUGGAGAACUUGAGUACAGAAGAGGAAAGCGGAAUUCCACGUGUAGCGGUGAAAUGCGUAGAGAUGUGGAGGAACACCAGCGGCGAAGGCGGCUUUCUGGUCUGUAACUGACGCUGAGGCGCGAAAGCGUGGGGAGCAAACAGGAUUAGAUACCCUGGUAGUCCACGCCGUAAACGAUGAGUGCUAAGUGUUAGGGGGUUUCCGCCCCCUUAGUGCUGCAGCUAACGCAUUAAGCACUCCGCCUGGGGAGUACGGCCGCAAGGCUG